GAUGAACGCUGGCGGCGUGCCUAAUACAUGCAAGUCGAGCGAAUGGAUUAAGAGCUUGCUCUUAUGAAGUUAGCGGCGGACGGGUGAGUAACACGUGGGUAACCUGCCCAUAAGACUGGGAUAACUCCGGGAAACCGGGGCUAAUACCGGAUAACAUUUUGAACCGCAUGGUUCGAAUUUGAAAGGCGGCUUCGGCUGUCACUUAUGGAUGGACCCGCGUCGCAUUAGCUAGUUGGUGAGGUAACGGCUCACCAAGGCAACGAUGCGUAGCCGACCUGAGAGGGUGAUCGGCCACACUGGGACUGAGACACGGCCCAGACUCCUACGGGAGGCAGCAGUAGGGAAUCUUCCGCAAUGGACGAAAGUCUGACGGAGCAACGCCGCGUGAGUGAUGAAGGCUUUCGGGUCGUAAAACUCUGUUGUUAGGGAAGAACAAGUGCUAGUUGAAUAAGCUGGCACCUUGACGGUACCUAACCAGCAAGCCACGGCUAACUACGUGCCAGCCGCCGCGGUAA
rnacentral:rRNA from 1 species